rnacentral:rRNA from 1 species
CCUACGGGUGGCAGCAGUGAGGAAUAUUGGUCAAUGGGCGAGAGCCUGAACCAGCCAAGUCGCGUGAGGGAAGACGGUCCUAUGGAUUGUAAACCUCUUUUGCCGGGGAGCAAAAAGCGGUACGUGUACCUCAUCGAGAGUACCCGGAGAAAAAGCAUCGGCUAACUCCGUGCCAGCAGCCGCGGUAAUACGGAGGAUGCGAGCGUUAUCCGGAUUUAUUGGGUUUAAAGGGAGCGUAGGCGGUUUGUUAAGUCAGUUGUGAAAGUUUGCGGCUCAAACGUAAAAUUGCAGUUGAUACUGGCAUCCUUGAGUACAGUAGAGGUAGGCGGAAUUCGUGGUGUAGCGGUGAAAUGCUUAGAUAUCACGAAGAACUCCGAUUGCGAAGGCAGCCUGCUGGACUGUAACUGACGCUGAUGCUCGAAAGUGUGGGUAUCAAACAGGAUUAGAUACCCGUGUAGUC